CUUCCUGCAAAACUAGCUAUGUAAAAAAAAAAAAAAAAAAAAAAAAAAAAA
rnacentral:ribozyme from 1 species